rnacentral:ncRNA from 1 species
CCGGGCUCGAUCGCAGUCGCCCGGUAUCCAAGGCAUAUCGCCCAAGCACUGC